rnacentral:lncRNA from 10 species
UAAUCUGAAAUGGCAUGUUUAUUUUCAUUUAUUUAUUUUUACUGACAUGACCAUAUAAGGGUUAGUGAAAGAAAAUGUUCACUACUUAAAGUUUCCUGGCCAUUAAUUAUUUGUUUCAUUUCAUGAUUAUUCCUCAAAAUAACUUUGUCAGGUAGAGGAAGAAAAGUUAAAACAUAAUCCGCUCUGUCAAACACACGAGAUAGAACACUAAGGCUUGAUCCAAAAAUAUGUGGAGCCUAUUUCCAAGGCAGUUCAGUUAACUUUUUCCACUCAGCCAUGUGGGUUCCCACCUCACCCUCCUCUCUUCUUGCUGCUCAGUCUUUCCAUUGUCCUCCUCACUGCCUCACCCAGCUCCUAAGUGCCGUUUUAAUAUGAUGGAUCCCAUGAUAGUAAAAGUGACUCUGGGGUGAAUUCAUCAGAAAGGGUUGCACUGGAAACUGAAUGAAGGACUCUGCAUCACAAACCAGGGGACGGGGGAAUCUGGAAUAUUUCAAGAUAAGGUCCAAUUCUUCCAUUGUCUCGUAAUCCAAUGCAGAGAUGUGAAAUGUAAGAUCAUCUGAAGGAGAGCUUUGGUUCAAGUCAAAUGCAUGCCUCAACCUAGCAGAGCCAAAGAGAUACUUGUAUGAUGUAAGUCAGAUUAUGUCAUUCUUCUGCUCAAAACUCUCCAAUAAAUAGCUCACCAUUCCCUUCAGAGAAAAGCCAAAGGACUUAAAAUGGCCAACAAAGCCUAUGAUCUGCACCCCCCUCCUCCCUCUACCUCACUUCAUCUUUCUCCCUGACUCACUUGGUUUCAGUCCUACUUGCCUGAUAUGUUCCCUCAAUUACACUCCCAUUUCAGGACAUUUGCACUGACUGUUUCCUCUGCCUGGACCCCACUUGCUCCAGCUUUGCACAUGGCUACCUCCCUUACUUUCUUCAGGUG